rnacentral:rRNA from 1 species
UACGGGGGGAGCAAGCGUUGUUCGGAUUUACUGGGCGUAAAGGGCGCGUAGGCGGUUCAGCACAAGUCAGUUGUCGAAAUCUCCGGGCUUAACUCGGAAAGGUCAACUGAUACUGUGCGACUAGAGUGGCGGAAGGGGCAACUGGAAUUCUCGGUGUAGCGGAUGAAAUGCGUAGAUAUCGGGAAGAACACCCGUGGCGAAGGCGGGUUCUCUCGGGACGGUACUGACGCUGAGACGACGAAAGCGUGGGGGAGCGAACAGG